AUGAAAAAGGCAAAACACGCCGAAAGGGUGUGACGCAAAACCUCCGGUCUACGUCGAAAGAUAGGAUAGCGGGGUUACCGAA
rnacentral:ncRNA from 1 species